UAGUAGAAGACAAACGAGAUGGGU
rnacentral:siRNA from 1 species